GACGAACGCUGGCGGCGUGCUUAACACAUGCAAGUCGAGCGGAGCGGCGACCGGGCGAGUAACGCGUGAGUAACUGCCCCCCUCCCUGGGAUAACAUUUGGAAACGGCUGCUAAUACCGGAUAGUGGGGGAUGACUCGCGUCCUAUCAGCUUGUUGGUGGGGUAGUGGCCUCCCAAGGCGACGACGGGUAGCCGGCAUGGGAGGGCGACCGGCCACAUGGGGCUGAGGUACGGCCCAGACUCCAACGGGGGGCAGCGGUGGGGAAUAUUGCACAAUGGUGGAAACCCUGAUGAAGCAGCGCGGGUGCGGGAUGACGGCCUUCGGGUUGUAAACCGCUUUCGGCCAUGACGCGGUAGUGGCAGAAGAAGCACCGGCUAACUACGUGCCAGCAGCCGCGGUAAUUC
rnacentral:rRNA from 1 species